rnacentral:rRNA from 1 species
GACGAACGCUGGCGGCGUGGAUUAGGCAUGCAAGUCGAACGGUAUCAUCCUUUCGGGGGUGAGAGAGUGGCGAACUGGUGAGUAACACGUAGGUUAUCUACCCUCAAGACGGGGACAACCCAGGGAAACUUGGGCUAAUACCGGAUGUGAGCAACUUUUAGUUGUUUGAAAGGUGGCGUAAGCUGUCGCUUGGGGAUGAGCCUGCGUCCUAUUAGUUAGUUGGUGAGGUAACGGCUCACCUAGGCAAUGAUAGGUAGGCGGCCUUAACGGGUGGUCGCCCACACUGGGAUUGAGAUACGGCCCAGACUCCUACGGGAGGCAGCAGUCGAGAAUAGUCUACAAUGGUCGGAAGACUGAUAGUGCGACGCCGCGUGAACGAUGAAUCCCUUCGGGGUGUAAAGUUCUUUUAUAUGUGAGCAGUGCUUCUUAUAUUAACAGUAUGGGGAGAGAGAUAUUAGCAUAUGAAUAAGCAACGGCUAACUCCGUGCCAGCAGCCGCGGUAAAACGUA